CCUACGGGCGGCUGCAGUCGAGAAUUUUUCUCAAUGGGCGAAAGCCUGAAGGAGCGACGCCGCGUGGGGGAUGAAUGGCUUCGGCCCGUAAACCCCUGUCAUUUGCGAACAAACCCUGCCAUUUAAAAGAUGGUAGGCUGAUUGUAGCGAAAGAGGAAGGGACGGCUAACUCUGUGCCAGCAGCCGCGGUAAUACAGAGGUCCCGAGCGUUGUUCGGAUUCACUGGGCGUAAAGGGUGCGUAGGUGGUUGGGUAAGUCUAAUGUGAAAUCUCCGAGCUCAACUCGGAAACUGCAUCGGAUACUAUUCAACUCGAGGGUUGGAGGGGGGACUGGAAUACUUGGUGUAGCAGUGAAAUGCGUAGAUAUCAAGUGGAACACCAGUGGCGAAGGCGAGUCCCUGGACAACUCCUGACACUGAGGCACGAAAGCUAGGGGAGCAAACAGGAUUAGAUACCCCGGUAGUCCC
rnacentral:rRNA from 1 species